rnacentral:misc_RNA from 1 species
GAUGAAGAACGCAGCGAAAUGCGAUAAGUAAUGUGAAUUGCAGAAUUCAGUGAAUCAUCGAAUCUUUGAACGCACAUUGCGCCCGCCAGUAUUCUGGCGGGCAUGCCUGUUCGAGCGUCAUUACAACCCUCAGGCCCCCGGGCCUGGCGUUGGGGAUCGGCGGAAGCCCCCUGUGGGCACACGCCGUCCCUCAAAUACAGUGGCGGUCCCGCCGCAGCUUCCAUUGCGUAGUAGCUAACACCUCGCAACUGGAGAGCGGCGCGGCCAUGCCGUAAAACACCCAACUUCUGAAUGCUGACCUCGAAUCAGGUAGGAAUACCCGCUGAACUUAAGCAUAUCAAUAAGCGGAGGA